GUUCAGAAUCAUAACAACUCAACAACUAAAAUAGGUGCCUACUAUGGGCCUGGCACGGUUCUAGCAGCUGGGGAUACAACGGUGACCUCAGCAGACCCUGCUUUCAAAGAGCUUGCGCUUGGGUCCAGGACACUGAUUAGCAAACAGGCAUUUGCCCUCCGCGUGUUCCUUCUUUUUUAUUUAAAAUGCUGAUUUUUGAAGUAGCAAGCAACUGUUCAAGGUACCACUCAGGAAGAUGAGCAAAUCGAGGAAGUCCCUCUGGCCUAAAAAUUCUAUCAACUUGCCCAGGAAAUGAAGGCCUGAGAAUUGCACCAGGUAGCUGAUGACCACAGGAAGGAUCCGUGAGAAAGGCCAGAGAGUGGAAACUGAAACUGACUGACAACAGACUGGAAAGAGAGAGUCUGGAGCCGGGAUUAAGGGACUGUGGUUUCUGCAAGUCCAC
rnacentral:lncRNA from 1 species